rnacentral:tRNA from 1 species
UGGCUCAGUGGAAAGAGCCUGGGCUUGGGAGUCAGAGGUCCUGGGUUCAAAUCCCGG